UACGUAGGGGGCAAGCGUUGUCCGGAAUCAUUGGGCGUAAAGCGCGCGUAGGCGGCCCGGUAAGUCCGCUGUGAAAGUCCAGGGCUCAACCCUGGAAAGCCGGUGGAUACUGCCGGGCUAGAGUCCGGAAGAGGCGAGUGGAAUUCCUGGUGUAGCGGUGGAAUGCGCAGAUAUCAGGAGGAACACCAAUAGCGAAGGCAGCUCGCUGGGACGGUACUGACGCUGAGACGCGAAAGCGUGGGGAGCAAACAGG
rnacentral:rRNA from 1 species